UCCACCUGCAAUCCAGGUCAAAUCCCAACCACAUUUUGGAAGCUUCGACGAUGUCAUAUAUUACAAUGUAAAUUGGUAGAAAGAUAGGUAAUGACAGUGUGAAUUGUCAAAAUUUGGUUGAGAUAGUGCUUGCAGUUAUGGAGGGACUCUGAUUUUUGCUUCUCAUAUACUUGACUAUGGGCUUGUUGGGAGUCCAAAACACCUGGAAGACCCAUCCAUCUUAGCAUUUGGUUAGAUUAGAAAGGUAAGGGCUCCUCAAAGGCUAUCCGGUCCAAGAAGUGUCUCCUAAAUUGUGUUCCUCCAGGUGUUUGGGAGGACCUCGCAGCAUCUCCAAGAGUUGGCCAAGGGGAUAGCAAUGAUGGGAGCAGGCCUGGGCAAACUAUGGCCCUCUCGGUGUUUUGGACUUCAACUCCCACAGUUCCAAAGUCAGAACUGGAGCGUCGACUCUUAAUACCCAAGGUGAUAUUGUAUAUAUUAGGCCGUUAGGAGAGGCGGGUCACCAGUAAACAUUAUAAUAAUGAUUACUGUGUGCGCUUUAAUGUCUUGGCAUUGGGCCCAAGGGGCAAAUGUUGCCCUAUAAAAUGCUGGAUGCCAAAAGCGCAGCAUCAGAGUCCCACCCAAUCCCCCUCAAAACACUGCUUUCUUAAGGGAUUCCUCCAGUGUUUUACAUGCAGCUCGUGUUGGAUGCCGGCCAUCCUGACUUGUUUUCAGGGGGAAAGGGGCGGAGGUGUUUGGGGCCUAAUUCCUGUUUUGUUCCAGAGCUGCAUCCCAUAGAAUAAAAACAUUUCCAGGCAGAACUACAAAGCAGCCAGGACUUUCUGUAAUAAUAAACAGGGAGCCUGUUCUUGUGGCUCUUUGGAGAGGGAGGGGUCCCAACUUCUGUGCUGUUUGGACCCCAACCUAUUGACUGCAAAGGGGGAGGGGGGUUACAUGGCAUAUAGGGUCCCCAGAGACCCUACAAAUGGCCCAUUUUGGACAACAGGGACACCUUCUUUUAUGGACAGAGAUGUUCUGUUGGAAGAGGCCUCAAGGUAAGGAAGAGUUGGAAGCAGCAGCAAUGUGGAGUUGAGUGCAUUAGCGACCGGAGCAAAUCUGAAAAUCGUGGUGAAUCGCAAUCGAUGGGCAGAAAGCGGGGCAAAGGGAAACAAUCAAGAAGGGAAAAAGAAGAGAGGAAGGAGAGAAGGAAAAAAUGUCAAUAUGAACACCAAGUCAACACAGAGCUUAUGGGAUGGACUAGUAUGGGAUAUAGUAUAAGCUAGGCCUACAUUGAUAGUAACUCUCAAGUAACUCAAAGGACAUUUAUCCGGCAUCUGCUAAUCUCUUAACUGAGAGUCUACUAUGUUUCAGUUUUAUUAACUGACAAGAUUUCAUUGCCAAAAUGCCCAUUUUGACCAGUUUUAUAUCUCUAUCUGUAUCUAAAAAUGAGCAAAUCACUAAUAAAGUUCCAGAGCAUCUGCUCCAAA